UUGGCUCCGGUUCACGUGCGCGAACCCGUGCACGACCCGGCGGCC
ncrna:unclassified sequences L31-Actinobacteria ribosomal protein leader